rnacentral:miRNA from 1 species
AUCACCUGGGAAUUUUGUUAAAAGUUCAGAUUUGGUUUUAUUAGAUCAGGGUAGAGGUAAAGAUUCUGCAUUUCUAACAAGCUUUUAGGUGAUGC